UGGUGGGUAGUUUGACUGGGGCGGUCUCCUCCUAAAGAGUAACGGAGGAGCACGAAGGUUGGCUAAUCCUGGUCGGACAUCAGGAGGUUAGUGCAAUGGCAUAAGCCAGCUUGACUGCGAGCGUGACGGCGCGAGCAGGUGCGAAAGCAGGUCAUAGUGAUCCGGUGGUUCUGAAUGGAAGGGCCAUCGCUCAACGGAUAAAAGGUACUCCGGGGAUAACAGGCUGAUACCGCCCAAGAGUUCAUAUCGACGGCGGUGUUUGGCACCUCGAUGUCGGCUCAUCACAUCCUGGGGCUGAAGUAGGUCCCAAGGGUAUGGCUGUUCGCCAUUUAAAGUGGUACGCGAGCUGGGUUUAGAACGUCGUGAGACAGUUCGGUCCCUAUCUGCCGUGGGCGCUGGAGAACUGAGGGGGGCUGCUCCUAGUACGAGAGGACCGGAGUGGACGCAUCACUGGUGUUCGGGUUGUCAUGCCAAUGGCACUGCCCGGUAGCUAAAUGCGGAAGAGAUAAGUGCUGAAAGCAUCUAAGCACGAAACUUGCCCCGAGAUGAGUUCUCCCUGAGACUUAGAGUCUCCUGAAGGAACGUUGAAGACGACGACGUUGAUAGGCCGGGUGUGUAAGCGCAGCGAUG
rnacentral:rRNA from 1 species